GACAGAGGGUGCAAACGUUGUUCGGAAUUACUGGGCGUAAAGCGCGUGUAGGCUGCUUCGCAAGUCGGAUGUGAAAUCUCCGGGCUUAACCCGGAAAGGUCAGCCGAUACUGCGGGGCUAGAGUGCAGAAGGGGCAACUGGAAUUCUCGGUGUAGCGGUGAAAUGCGUAGAUAUCGAGAGGAACACCUGCGGCGAAGGCGGGUAGCUGGGCCAACACUGACGCUGAGACGCGAAAGCUAGGGGAGCAAACGGG
rnacentral:rRNA from 1 species